rnacentral:rRNA from 1 species
AGUGAACGCUGGCGGCAGGCCUAACACAUGCAAGUCGAGCGGCAGCGCGGGGGCAACCCUGGCGGCGAGCGGCGGACGGGUGAGGAAUGCAUCGGAAUCUGCCUCGUUGUGGGGGAUAACGUAGGGAAACUUACGCUAAUACCGCAUACGACCGAGAGGUGAAAGGGGGGGAUCGCAAGACCUCUCGCUAUCAGAUGAGC